ACAGUCGGUGUGAUGUCUGGUUACACAGAUCCUUCCCUCGUCUCUAGUACUAGCGCUCUCAGCACAUCCCAGUAUUACUGAUAAGGCUGUUCUGAGAACUGCUUGGACAAGCCUUUUCACAGUGGCUGGAAGCAGGAUGAAGUCACUGUAUUUUAUAUAAACCCGACUUUGAUGCCUGGAGAGCCUGUGGUUGUGUAGCUGCUAUCAUAGGAGCUGGUGUUGAAAGAUGAGAGAUGUGAGGAAGGGAUAUCAGCAUACGCUGACGAGGACUCUCUAAAGUGGAGAAUGGUGAGAGGACGCUCUUUGUUUACAUCCCUGUUAGGGAGCAUUUCUCCUUCGCCAAGAUAAUCUAUCCACCUGACAGGUGUGGCAUAUCAAGACGUUGAUUUAAACAGCAUGGUCAUUACACAGGUAUACCGUGUGCUGGGGACAAUAAAUUGCCACUCUGAAAUGUACAAUUUUGUCACGCAAUGCCACAGAUGUCUCAAGUUUUGAGGGAGCGUGCAAUUGGUAUGUUGACUGCAGGAAUGUCCACCAAGAUGUUGCCAGAUAAUUUAAUGCUAAUUUCUCUACCAUAUCCCACAUCCAACGAC
ensembl:lncRNA